UUGCAUCUUUCUCCCCCAAGCUAGAGGAAGUGCUGGAGGAAGUCACGGAUUAAAAGAAUGGGGCGCAGGCUUAGGUUAGGGGCUCUUCUUGGCAGCUUUCCCUUUUAGCUAGAAACCCCUAUUACCUUUACGCUGUUAACCCUCGACGGCACGGGUCAGUGGUGUACCCACUUGGAGUUCCUUAUCUCAGAAAGCCCUUUCUCUCCCUUUAAACACGAGCUUUAAACUAAUCAGCUGCCGUUGUCCAGUGAUUCAGCUCCAGCUCCCUGGGGGGACACCAGCAAAUCACAGGACAGCUGCUCUUAACACGGAGAAUGUAGAGCUGCGCACAGGGUGUUGGGGGAAGGUCAUGGCCGUGGCACUGGAAGGGAGGGCCAGAGGAGGGAGGAGGUCUGGAUGGCCCUUUCGCUUUCGCCUUGGGAACGAGGAUGAGCCUGUCUUUGAUGCCUUGACUGGUUCUGCACUCUUUUCCUCCCGUCCUAAAUUCAGCGACGUGAUACGUAUUUAAGGAGUCGGCCAAACCUCAAAUUACACUGUCUGAGAACCGAGCCACUGCAAAGAAAGCAGUUCGGUUAUUAGCAUGAAACGACAGGACGCUGGCGCGUGGAGAAACCACUAGUAAAAGUGGAAGGAAACGGCUUCGGAAGAUACGGUUACCUGUGUAAAGGAAGCUCAAGUUCCUACCAUCCAUUUCUGAUCAAGCCUGAAAUUCUUGUGGCCGGAAGUCUGAAAUCAAGAUGUCUGCAGGGCCACACUCCCACCGAAAUGUGUAAGAGAGAAGGCUUCCUUGGCUCUUCUAGUUUCUGGUGUUUUCUGGCAAUCCUUGGUGUUCCUCGGCUUCUAGAUGCAUCUCUCCAAUCUCUGCCCCUGUCGUCACAUGGCUGUGAUGUCUGUGUGUCUCUGUGUCUCUUCUUAUAAGGACACUAGUCAGAACGGACAGUCACCCUAUGACCUCAAUAUUAACUUAAUCAGACCUGCAAAGACUCUAAAUCCCAAUCAGGUCAUGUUUACAAUGAAUGGGGGUUGGGCCUCAACACAUGUCUUUGGGCGGUGGGGGGACUCAGCUAAACCCUUAGCUUAUGCUGUUGUGUCCAUGGCUACUCCCUUCUGGGAAAGUAUGUCUUCGUCAUACGUCCUUUAAGUAUUCCAAUUCCUGUGUCAAUGAUUUCUUAUUGUAAAAUUUCUACAUUUGACUUAGAGAAUGGUUUCGCUUUCCAUGUAGCUAGGCUAUAGGAAAAUAAGGCCCUGACUGACUAUAUGUGGACUGGGGUUUUCCAUUUCCAGAGAGAAUAAUGUCUCAGUGUAAGCUAAUAAACUGGCUUUCCACUUUGA